rnacentral:lncRNA from 1 species
GUCUCACGCUAAAGUGCGAUGGUUGGUUGUUCGCUUAAGUACGAUGGUGUAUCGCAAUGGUCCAAAGGGUAAGAUUCGAGGGAUUAAAACAUCGAAAUUCAAAAAAGAUUUUGCAAAAGCUAUUAUGCUAAGAUAUAACAUAUGUGAUAGGCUUUACCACUUAUCGAUAGGCUGAAGUGAUUGUUUCUAAAUUAACAAGUCCGACCAAGAAAUAAUUGCUAAAAAGGUAAUUUAUGUUUUGCAAGAUAUCAAAUAUUUCAUGUAAAAUAAAUUUUUAACAAUUCGGAGCGUAUUGAAUAUUUGGAUAAUUGGUGUAGCUCGCCGUUCACACUAAUGUUACAA